UUGCAUCCAAUAGCCUCUCACGAUAUAAAAGACUCGCGGGGAUUAAGAUGUGCCAUAAAAGAAACUCACAUAACUGGACAUUAUAAAAAUCAUCUACGCGGGCAGUAGAGCUUUCCUUCAAUAUGAACAAAAACCUGGUUCUCUUCGUUGUCAUCAGUUGUUUCCUGGCUGCAGUUCUAGCGUCAGAAUAUUUGGAACAUGACUACGACAUUCAGAUUCAUCCAACGCACAGUCAUAGCCAUCAUGGUUAUGGAGAUCAUGGAUUUGCGACUAGUGUGAGAUAUGACAGGAGGUACCACCACAAAAUCCCAGAAGUAAUACACAGUAAUGAUGUGAUUUAUCAAUACGUUUCAGAUGGAGGUUAUCAUGGUGAAGGAGGACACAUUUAUUGAAAACUAGAAGUUAAGAAUUUAUUUGGACUGCUGGGUGAUGAAGAUGGAAGUUCUUGCCAUAAAAUUUGUAUAAAUUUGAAAUUUAAUGUAUAAUGUUGGUUACAUUUAAUUUAAUUAAUUUAAGGACUUUAUAUUUCCUGCCACUUUUGUAAAUAAAAUAUUCUGCUUCAAAUUAAUUUUAUUAUUUUGCGUUAUGCAUGCAAGACAGAAUUUGGACAAAUGUGCAGAAACAGAUCUGUAAAUGCUUCUGUCAGAAAGAAGAAGCAU